GACGAACGCUGGCGGCGUGCUUAACACAUGCAAGUCGAACGGAAAGACCCUGCUUUUGUGGGGUGCUCGAGUGGCGAACGGGUGAGUAACACGUGAGUAACCUGCCCUUGAUUUUGGGAUAACUUCAGGAAACUGGGGCUAAUACCGGAUAGGAGCUCCUGCUGCAUGGUGGGGGUUGGAAAGUUUCGGCGGUUGGGGAUGGACUCGCGGCUUAUCAGCUUGUUGGUGGGGUAGUGGCUUACCAAGGCUUUGACGGGUAGCCGGCCUGAGAGGGUGACCGGCCACAUUGGGACUGAGAUACGGCCCAGACUCCUACGGGAGGCAGCAGUGGGGAAUAUUGCACAAUGGGCGGAAGCCUGAUGCAGCAACGCCGCGUGCGGGAUGACGGCCUUCGGGUUGUAAACCGCUUUCGCCUGUGACGAAGCGUGAGUGACGGUAAUGGGUAAAGAAGCACCGGCUAACUACGUG
rnacentral:rRNA from 1 species